CAGCAGCCGCGGGAACACAGAGGGUGCAAGCGUUAAUCGGAUUUACUGGGCGUAAAGCGUGCGUAGGUGGCUGUUUAAGUCGGAUGUGAAAGCCCUGGGCUUAACCUGGGAACUGCAUUCGAUACUGGAUAGCUAGAGAUCGGUAGAGAGCAGCGGAAUUCCGGGUGUAGCGGUGAAAUGCGUAGAUAUCCGGAGGAACACCGAUGGCGAAGGCAACUGCCUGGGCCUGAUCUGACACUGAGGCACGAAAGCGUGGGUAGCAAACAGGAUUAGAUACCCGCGUAGUCCCUGUCUCUUAUAC
rnacentral:rRNA from 1 species